rnacentral:rRNA from 1 species
GAUGAACGCUGGCGGCAUGCCUAACACAUGCAAGUCGAUCGGUAAGGCUCUUCGGAGUCCACGAGAGGCGGACGGCUGAGUAACUCGUAGGAACACACCCUGCCGUGAGGGAUAAGUCACCGAACGGUGUUCUAAUACCGCAUACGGCCUUCGGUUUAAAGCAUUUAUGCGCUGAAGGAGUGACGUGCGUCAUAUUAGAUAGUUGGUGAGGUAAUGGCUCACCAAGUCGAUGAUGUGUAGCUGGUCUGUGAGGAUGAUCAGAGAGACUGGAGCUGAGACACAGUCCAGACUCCUACGGGAGGCGGCAGUGAGUAAUAUAGCAAAAUGAGCGGAGGCAUGAUGGAGCUAGGCCGCGAGCAGGAUGAAAGCCCGCAAGAUGUAAUCUGUAAGUAAAAAAGAAGAUUUUGACGGUAACUUAUGAGAAAGGGACGGCUAACUACGUG